rnacentral:rRNA from 1 species
GAUGAACGCUAGCUACAGGCUUAACACAUGCAAGUCGAGGGACCGGCGCACGGGUGAGUAACACGUAUCCAACCUGCCCUUUACUCGGGGAUAGCCUUUCGAAAGAAAGAUUAAUACCCGAUAUAAAGGAUGGGGAUGCGUUCCAUUAGGUUGUUGGUGAGGUAACGGCCCACCAAGCCUUCGAUGGAGAGGGGUGCGGAGAGGAAGGGACCCCACAUCGGAACUGAGACACGGACCAAACUCGUACGGGAGGGAGCAGUGAGGAAUAUUAGUCAAGGAGCGUUAGCCUGAACCAGCCAAGUAGCGUGAAGGAGGAAGGCUUAUGGGUCGUAAACUUCUGUUAUAGAAGAAGAUGUAUUAUAUGAAUAAGGAUCGGCUAACUCCGUGCCAGCCGCCGCGGUAAUUC